rnacentral:lncRNA from 1 species
CUUAUCCCCAAAACCUCAUUUCUCAACUCUAAACCAUAAACCCUAAACUCUAAACCCUAAACCCUAAACCCUAAACUCUAAACCCUAAACCCUAAACCCUGAACCUUAAACUCUAAACCCUAAACUCUAAACCCUAAACCCUAAACCCUAAACCUUAAAUCCUAAACUCUAAACCCUAAACUCUAAACCCUAAACCCUAAAUCCUAAAUCCCACCCUUUAACUCUAAACCCUAAGUUUGUGACUUUUGA